CCCUGGACCACAUUAUUCAUGUGUGUUGUGGGGGAGACCCUGCCAUGGCUCAACGUCACCCAGACUCAGCCUGCUGAGAGCAGCCCACCAAGGCUGACUCUCUGUAUUCUGGCCCUUCACCCCCAGGUUUGUCCACCAGUUCUUAGAUCCGGGCACAUACGUGUUUCGAGACAACGCACUUCCCGAGAGCGUUGUGGUGGUGUCGGUGAAGGAGAAGGGGAUAGCCUGCGGCCCUGGCCUGUCCUCUGUGCAGCCCUCCUCCCCGUACCAGCUCUCCAGGCAUGGCAUCGUCAGGCACAGGCUGCCAACCCUGGGCCCAGACUGGGCCGUGAUCACAGGUACUGACCCCAGACCAGAGUAGCCAGGACCUGGGGUUGGUGCCAGGAGUGUGGCACAGCAGAACCCCCAGCCCCAUCUGUGACUCUGGGUACAGCCCCAAAGACUUCAGGUGUGCACAAGGACAAGCUUGCCCUUGAACUGGGGCUUCAUUUGCCAGACAAAGAAAACUGAAUUUCCUCCACUAGGGUCUCCUUUCUCACCCUCCCUUCUCCUCUACCUCAGUCCUGGGAGCUUCCCUGGGGAGCGAGUCCCUGCGCGGUGAGUGAGUUGCACGGUAGAGUACCAGGAUCGCAGGGGUGCCUCCUGUAACCUCCUCUCUGGGUUUUCUCAUCUUGUUUCCUUCUUGUCUUCAUGAGUCAGCAGUCUGCACUGAGCCCUCCGGCUGAGCCCAGAGCAUGGGGCAUUCAUGGCCCCCACCCAGGUGGGACAGAGAACACUGCCCUGCAGGGGCCAGGUGCUAAGCCACCUGGGCACAGGGCAGCCAGCAAGCCACAUGAAGCACAGGGCAGUGCUGGGACCUGCCGGGAAGGCCAGCAGCAAUGUCCUGGGAGGGGUCUUACAUGGUGGGGUGUGGGGAGAGGAGCAUUCCCAGGAGGACACCUGACAUCACAAAGCCCCAGAGGCAGGAAUGAGGUUGAUCUACAGGGAGCUAUGAGGAGUUAAAGCCUGAAGGCAGCAAGACAGAGAGACCAGGGCCAAGGGGCAAAUGCAAAACGCUGCUCUCCGGGCCAGCGCAGCCUGGGGAGGUUCUGAGUGGUCAUCAUGUGGCCCUUCCGCUCUCCCCGCAACUUUCAGGGGUGCUGCUGGCUGUCGGCUUGGCAACUGCGCUGCUGACAGGCCUGGGCCUUGUGCUGAGCCCCCCGCUGGCCCAGACCUGCCCAGUCAGAGCUUGGAGACUCCGGGGGAGGGGCCUCAGGGAGCCUCACGUGCCUGCUGACUGCGUGCCUCUCGGGGACAGCCUUACCGUCCGUGAAGACCUCGGUCCUCAGGGCUCUGGGGAAGGAGCCAGCUGCAGGCAGAGAGCCGUUCCCCGGGACACAGGGGAGCCACACCCUGUGAACACCCUAGAGGACUUCAGCGUCCGCACACUCUAUGACAAGCUUGAGGACCAGAGCCUGCACUUGGUGGCCCAGCUGAGCAAGCACAGGAGCGACGCACUGGCCUUCUACAGGGGCGCCAGCCAGCAACUCCAGGGGCUCAAGGACUUUCUGCAGGGCGUCAGCAUGACCGAGCGGCAAGAUCUGGGCAGAGGUGGAGACCUGGAGAUGGGAGCCAAAGCCACUGCCAGGACAGACACUGGGCAGAGAGAGGAAUGGUGCAGUGGUCACACUGCAGCUUCUCCAAGGGUGCGCUGGCAGCAUCCUCUAGCCUUCCAGAACCCAGCCCCAGGGAAGAAGAGUCUGGGAACAGGUCAGACAGGCGGCACCCCCAGCAUGUCUCCACUGGGCUUUCAGUCGAAGCUCGACAGAAUGAUUGCGGCCCUGGCAUCUGCACUUUCUCACGCACGUGGGCAACCAGCCAGGGCCCACAGGAAGGCCUCCGCUCAGGGGGGUGAACAGCCUCUUCCCUCCUGUCAACAAGACCCUCAACUGGUGAGUGACACGCUCCUGAAGCCCCGGCCUCAGCCCUCGGAUGAGGAGCAUCAAAGUGCAAGCCCCCAGAAGACCCCAGGACCUGGACGGCUCCGUCAGGGUGAUGCCAAAGGAGGGGACACUGAGAGCCCAGUUUCCGGACACAGGCACGGAGCCUUUCCUGAGCUGCAGAGAAAGAUAUGGCAGGUGGAAGACAUCUUGGACGAACUGAAUAAAGAGUUCUUCCAGCUCACUGCUCAAGCCCUAGAGCUCCAGAAAGAAGAGCACCAGCCAGACCACCUGCCCCCAAGGAAACACAGUACAUUUGCGGUGGUUCCCAGCAUCUUCCCUCAUGCAGAGCAGGAAGACAGACCUAACCCAGCAGAGGCAGGCGGCCCAGACAGAAAGAGUGUGGGAACCUGGGCCCUGAAGAGCGAGCAGGCCCUGAUCCUGGCGGUGAGGAGAGCCUGCCUGGCUCAGAGGAUCGAAGGCCUGGACUGGGAGCUGUCCCUGCUCCUCCAGGUGGCAGAGGGCAGCACGUGUGCAGGAUGGAGCCAGCCCAGCCUGGGGAGACGCUGAGUCACCCAGGGUGCUGCGGCGGUCAUCUGUGGCAGUGCCUUCUCCACAAAGAACAUGGCCAGGUUACUCUGCGCACUCCAGGCAGGAAGACGUGGGCGUCGCAGGGGCCGCCCUGGCUGGGAAUGUGAGCUCGGUUAUGGCAUGCUCCUAUCUGGUAACACCCAGGUUUCUUUCAGAGCCUGGACCUCGGCUUGUGCUGAUUGCUAUCUGUGAUCCUUUGGGGUGAGGGAAAAUAAAGUCACACAGGUUGAGAAUAUCAACGUGUGUUCCCAUCGCUGAGUCCAUCCCUCAAUCCUCUCA
rnacentral:lncRNA from 1 species